rnacentral:tRNA from 1 species
GGGGGUCAGUUGGUAGAGCAGUUGACUUUUAAUCAAUUGGUCGCAGGUUCGAAUCCUGCACGACCCACCA